rnacentral:lncRNA from 1 species
GAAGACAGGUUCUGGGGAAUGUCUCACGCUGCGCCCUAGCAUGGCGGCGAAGUGGAAGACUGGGCAGGUGUGUGAAGGAAGAUAGAACCUCAUAAACUCUUGUUACAGAAACCAGUCCAGCUCUGCAAGACUGAGAAUCCACUCAGUGAAGAUGCAAUUAUGAAGGCGGAAAAGGCACCCGAGUGAGGUCUUUGCAGAUCCUGGCAGGCUUCGUUCCUUUGAUCCUGGCAGAUGUACUUCCAUUGUCUCAGCCAGGAAGCAGACCCUGGAGCAGAUGUGGUCUCAUAGCUCAGGUCACAAGCCCCCGCUUCACAUCCUUGGAUAUCCUGAGGCAAGGCUGAGGGAAAUUGCCAACAGCUUCUGAGCUAUGAUAGGGGCUGUUUGAUUUGUGAGGUUACCAGCCAACCUGGGGGAAGGAGUAACAUUGAGAUUCACUGGCAGUAGGAAAGGCUAACCCAGGAGAAAACCCACACAAUAAUAUUUUAAUACAAAAUACCGGAUGAUGUCUCGUGAACUCUUCUCAGGGAAAUGAGGCUUUACAUCUAUUUGCCUGCAAUAGGGCGCCAAUGAUAGACCACAGGCGCACUCGCACCUAUGUCUAAGUUGGUGAACUAGUAAGUUUAUUUUGGUUGUAGUUUUAUAUAAGAGUGAGGGCAACUUGCAGACGGUUAUACCAUCAAAUAAAAGUCUCUAGACCU